rnacentral:snoRNA from 1 species
ACCCUCCAGAUCCCUCCCCCUCAGAUCUAAACAUCGGUCUGGUUGGCUACAAAGGGAGGAAAAGUAAAACUGAAAUGGAUGUGGUUUCUUAUGUAGCAAACAAGUUCCUUUCAAAGACCA